CAACUUUCAACAACGGAUCUCUUGAAAUGCGAUAAGUAAUGUGAAUUGCAGAAUUCAGUGAAUCAUCGAAUCUUUGAACGCACCUUGCGCCCCUUGGUAUUCCGAGGGGCAUGCCUGUUUGAGUGUCAUUA
rnacentral:rRNA from 1 species